rnacentral:lncRNA from 1 species
AUACAUGAAUGAAUUAUUGCUUGUAUUAUUUUCCUCUAGUCUCUAUACAUGAAUUUUUUUCCCCUCACUUUUAAUCGUUAAAACAACUUUCUUUUAUGAUGACUAUCGUUUUUAAAUCACUAUUUUUUUUAAAGAGAGCAUCGUUCUUCUUACUUUUUAUUUUCAUGGAACCUGCGGAGCUAUAGGUAUUUUUGACUGUACCUAGCCCAACUGACAAGUCUGAAUUGAAAUGAUUUUGCAACCUAACCCAAGGCAGAAAUUCUCAUUUCCCAUUGGUUUAACGUUUGGCUCAGUCAAGAGAUCAACAAUUUCAGUCUGUACCUACUGUUUGAGGCCAAAAUACUUUUAGCAGAAAGUUGUUUGUUUUAUUUCAUCUAGGGUGUUAUCUGUCGAGUCAAUUAAAGUGAAAUUUGUAUAUUUUAAACGAGAUAGCGUUAUUGUAAGUUAUUUUUUUCUGCUUGCAGUUUUCUAAGCGUCAGAUAUCUAAACUCUUUUAAGUAUUCUCUUAUCAGCUAUUCCGCAAUCGUUCUGUUCCGAUGUGACUCGAAGGAAAAGUCUCUGAACAUGUCAAUUCUCAAAUACUGAUUUCUUGAUUUGGUGCUUGUAGGCUAGAAAGAAGGCUGAAAUCUGAAUGCUCAGCUCUUUCUCCUUUUUUUUGCAUUUAGAUCAGAGAGUUGUUAAUUUUUUUUUUUUUUUUUUUGAUGAUCAAGUUGCUUGUUUUGCUGGUUAAAUUUUACCUCAGUUAUCAAGGGACCCCCAACGUCAAGUUCUGAGGCAUGAGAUGUGAUUUUUGUGUAUUUUUGGAAGAUAAUACACAGUUGUUUUUGAUCCUCAAAAAACUGAAUUCACUGGAUGGGUACCCUAUGAUUGGUUAAUGGCUUUUGUUUACCAAUAUCUACUUUCUCUAACAGAUAAAAGAUUCUUCUGAUCAUCAGAAACCCCAUCGGUAUUUGUUUCUAAACUCUAAAAAACGAAUGUAUUAAAACAAUGAAGGGUGCUUCUCUGAAAUAAAAUUCUAUGACUUUAAAUUUUAUAUAUUCCUUGUCUGCAUUUUUUUCUGCUCAAGUUCUAAAAUGUCACUACUUUUCGUUUUGAUUAUGGCAUACACCAGUCUUUGACAGCCUAAUUUUAUCUAUUCCAUAAAAUAUUCUUUUGCUCUUUCUGGAAGAAAAAAACAAGUACGA